GUGGCUCAUACAGAAUCAUACAAUAUGCUGAGUUGGAAGGGACCUGUCAGGAUUAUGAAGUCCAACUCUUGACCUUGUACAGGACACUCCAAGAAUCACUCCAUGUG